rnacentral:rRNA from 1 species
UACGGAGGAUGCGAGCGUUAUCCGGACUUAUUGGGUUUAAAGGGUGCGUAGGCGGGAUGCCAAGUCAGCGGUAAAAAUGCGGUGCUCAACGCCGUCGAGCCGUUGAGACUGGCGUUCUUGAGUGGGCGAGAAGUAUGCGGAAUGCGUGGUGUAGCGGUGAAAUGCAUAGAUAUCACGCAGAACUCCGAUUGCGAAGGCAGCAUACCGGCGCCCUACUGACGCUGAGGCACGAAAGCGUGGGUAUCGAACAGG